rnacentral:pre_miRNA from 2 species
UCUCAUGCUGUGACUUUGCAAAGGGAAGCCCUUUCUGUUGUCUAAAAGAAAAGAAAGUGCUUCUCUUUGGAGUGUUACGGUUUGAGA